GACACAUGUUCAUGUAGUAGAUGAGAAUAACAAGAUACACAAGUGAGAACAUCUGGCCUGGCUGCUUUGUCUGUUACAUGAAGGUCAAAUGACAUGAAGAAUGGGAAAGGAUUUUAUGAGUGUUCAAAUGUUGGGGGAGCGUCUUAUCACAGAGGACUUUCUGCAGGAGGACAUCCACACUCCUCCUGUCACUGGAUCAGCCAGGAACAUCACCACACUCAGCCAGCUGCACAAUCUGCCAUAGCUGUGUUCUGAGAACUUCUGUAAACAAAGUAAUAUUAAUUAUGGAGAUGAUGAAAUCACAAUCAAAAUUCCAAACUAAGUUCAUCUGCAACCCACGAUCACACUACAUCUUGGCGGGAAUAUGCUGGUUUGAAGUAGUCAAGGGCUGGAGUUUGAAAGAGGAACAAAUGAAGCCUGACCUUGGGAGGAACUUCCAAAGAUUCUGAGCCAACUCCCAACAGGGAGCUCUCAGGAUUCAGCGAGUGUCCUGAGUGUGCUGUCUGUCUGUGACGCCGGCUAGGCCAAGCCUGAUGGUUCCUCAUGAGAAUGUCCUGGCCUGUGCUGCUGAAGGUGUGGUCCACAGUGGGGUCAGUCUGCUGUUUCCAGUCUCCAAUGCAACUCAUCCAUGAACAUAUGUGCAGAGUUUGUAAACCUUCCAUUUUUCUGUUAUUUCUGUAUGUAUUUAUUGAUUUUUUUGUGUAAAAUGUAAAACAUGGGUUCUGUAUUUUGUGUUUCAUUAUCUUCAUAGUUAAUAUUACUUUAUUUACAAAGGUUUAGGUCUGGGAUGGAUAGAAAAUGAAAACUGUCCCUUCACCGUGGAGUUUGAGAAGCCCCGUGGAGGAUUCAAGUAAUUUAGGCAUUGGAAUCCACCUCCUGUGGUCACUUUCAAGCCUAAAAUCCGCGGAGGAUCUGAACUUGGGCAGGGAAACCUGAGAAUAAACAUGAGGAAUGGAGAAGUCUCUGUACCACGUUUAAUGAGUGGAGCUGAUCGCGUAUGUCCCCAUCCCCAUAUCAUCCAGCACAGUGCAGGUGCCUUUUACAGAAGAUGGAGGUCAGUGAUGUAACGGGGCUUGCCUGAAGGCGCUCAGACUGUUCAGCACUCACAUUUCCAUCCAGAGCCCAGUCUAAACUCCCAGUUCAAUCUCCCACCCCAGUCCCUCAUUCCAAAAACACAACAGGAACCAGAACGGGAAUCAAGUCUAAGUGUUUAAUUAUUAUUCACAUAUUUCACAGAAAAAAAGGAAUGUAGCAAAGGGGUCAAGAUUGUAGCAAAAAACAAAAAAUCCUGGAUUUUACGGGUCACUCUAUUUGUACUUGGGAGCA
rnacentral:lncRNA from 1 species